UACGUAGGGUGCGAGCGUUAAUCGGAAUUACUGGGCGUAAAGCGUGCGCAGGCGGUGAUGUAAGACAGGUGUGAAAGCCCCGGGCUCAACCUGGGAAUUGCAUUUGAGACUGCGUAGCUAGGGUGCGGAAGAGGGAAGCGGAAUUUCCGGUGUAGCGGUGAAAUGCGUAGAUAUCGGAAGGAACACCAGUGGCGAAAGCGGCUUCCUGGUCCAGCACCGACGUUCAGGCACGAAAGCGUGGGGAGCAAACAGG
rnacentral:rRNA from 1 species